UGCAUGCGUGGGAGUAGUUAACCCGCAGGUGGAGUGGCUAGCCACUGCUUUCUGGCCCCAGGUCGGCACUGCGGGUCCCUCCCGAGUCCCUGAUCUGGCUAGGCACGCAGUUGGCAAGUCCCCGAAAACACAAGGCAUAACACAUAAAGAACAGAGUAACACUACCCGGCAAGCCAGAUGUGAACAAAGAACAAGUAGAUUUAAAUUGAACAAGAUGAAAAUAUAACAAACGAGUUCAUAGACGAAUUCAUAAAGUAGUUGGGGCAAACACAGAAUGAACUAUAAGGCGCCAUGCGCCAUUUGCAUGAAAAACAAAGAAAAAUAAAAGGAACAUAGGAUAACUAGGCGGGAGGCGCUUCCGGGAUGAUCGUCUCCGCAGUUGGCGCUUCCUCGGCAGAAGUUUCCCCAGCAGCCUCGGCUUCAUCGGCACCGGCUUUGCCCUGCAUCCGCGCCACCAUCUCGUCCACCACGUCCUUGACCACUUCCCGGUGGGUCUUAGCCUCUUCUUCGUCUGACCAGGCGUCGAAAACAGACUCGAACAGGAAGUC
rnacentral:lncRNA from 1 species